rnacentral:rRNA from 1 species
CUACGGGUGGCUCCAGUGAGGAAUCUUGCGCAAUGGGGGCAACCCUGACGCAGCAACGCCGCGUGAGUGAAGAAGGCCUUCGGGUCGUAAAGCUCUGUCAAGUGGGAAGAAUAGCCUUGAGACGAAUACUCUUGAGGUAUGACGGUACCACUGGAGGAAGCACCGGCUAACUCCGUGCCAGCAGCCGCGGUAAUACGGAGGGUGCAAGCGUUAUUCGGAAUUAUUGGGCGUAAAGGGCGUGUAGGCGGCCAGACAAGUCAGGGGUGAAAGCCCGGGGCUCAACCCCGGAAGUGCCUUUGAAACUGUCUGGCUUGAGUGCGGGAGAGGAAAGCGGAAUUCCCAGUGUAGAGGUGAAAUUCGUAGAUAUUGGGAGGAACAUCGGUGGCGAAGGCGGCUUUCUGGACCGACACUGACGCUGAGGCGCGAAAGCGUGGGGAGCAAACAGGAUUAGAUACCCCCGUAGUC